CCAAGGUCUCCGUAGGUGAACNUGCGGAGGGAUCAUUACACAAAUAUGAAGGCGGGCUGGAACCUCUCGGGGUUACAGCCUUGCUGAAUUAUUCACCCUUGUCUUUUGCGUACUUCUUGUUUCCUUGGUGGGUUCGCCCACCACUAGGACAAACAUAAACCUUUUGUAAUUGCGAUCAGCGUCAGUAACAAAUUAAUAAUUACAACUUUCAACAACGGAUCUCUUGGUUCUGGCAUCGAUGAAGAACGCAGCGAAAUGCGAUAAGUAGUGUGAAUUGCAGAAUUCAGUGAAUCAUCGAAUCUUUGAACGCACAUUGCGCCCUUUGGUAUUCCAAAGGGCAUGCCUGUUCGAGCGUCAUUUGUACCCUCAAGCUUUGCUUGGUGUUGGGCGUCUUGUCUCUAGCUUUGCUGGAGACUCGCCUUAAAGUAAUUGGCAGCGGGCCUACUGGUUUCGGAGCGCAGCACAAGUCGCACUCUCUAUCAGCAAAGGUCUAGCAUCCAUUAAGCC
rnacentral:rRNA from 1 species